AGUUUCCGGGCCAGUCAGGCCAACUGCAAAAUAUAGAUCAAGAUUUUUAGCUGGAUUUCUGAAAUGUAGUGUACACUUUUAGUGACUUUACUGUUUACACACUUGUUGGAGCUCCAAAAAUGAAUAGAUCUAGUAGUGCGAUGUACGUUUAAGUUUAAAAUUAAGUGACUGUAAGCAUUGAUAUUUGAAGUAUUACAAUGUGGAACCAAAAUGCAACCAAAAAAAAACUUUCUUAAAAGUGUAUAUUAGAAUGGAAAGUAGACCAUAACGUUUCUUUAGAGGAUUCUAUAUAUGUGGUUUAUUUUCAAGAGGAACAUAUUCUUAUCAGUGUGUGUUACUGUGUUUAUCUGUGUUUGUGCUAAAUAUUUUUGAAUAGGAGGCUAGGAAAAUAUACUCUUUUUUUAAACAAAUACAUUAGUUGUAAAAUACGAUGAACAAAAGUAUUAUUUGAUGAAUUCACUGGUUUUAUAAUUGUGAGUAUUGCUAAUAAUUCAACUAUGGAUGAACAAAGGCCACCGUCUAUUGUUUCUGAAGAUAUGUUUUACUCUGAUGAUGGUAGUGUUAUGGAAGACCCUAGUGUGUCUGUUUUCACUGAGGAAAAUAAAAUUGAUUUUAGAGCUGAGUCAGCUUUAGUUGCUGUACAGCCAGGCCUUGCAGCUGCUCUCAAUGAAGAGUCAUCAUCUAAGCGACCUUCACAGGAGCAACAUCCUGCCGUUGAAAAAAAUGCACCAAUGGCUCCAGUGGCUGUGGAGGUAGCUAUUGAAAUGGAUGCACCGGACAGCAUGAAAAGACUUGUUGGUGUGACAAGUGAUUAUCAGCCUUUAAGUGAGCCUCCUCCAGAAGAGCCAGCCAUUCCAGAAUCACCCUAUUCACCAUCGCCUCACAAUAGACUAAUAUUUAUUAAUAAAACAGAAUCACAAAAAUUUUGUUCUAAUGAAAUUAGCACAGCCAAAUACAACCUCUUUACAUUUUUACCUAAAUUUUUGUUUGAACAGUUUAGAAAAUAUGCUAACAUCUUCUUCCUUUUCAUCGCACUAAUGCAGCAAAUUCCUAAUGUCUCCCCAACUGGACGCUAUACUACUGCUGUACCAUUAAUGUUAAUACUUAGUGUCUCAGCCAUUAAAGAAAUUAUUGAAGAUAUUAAAAGGCAUAGAGCAGAUGGCAAUGUCAACAAUAGAUUAGUAGCUGUUCAUCGAAAUGGAAAAUGGAUGGAUGUGCGAUGGAAAGAUGUUCUGGUGGGUGAUAUAGUCAAAGUAGAUGAUGGGGCUUAUUUUCCAGCAGAUCUGAUCCUGUUGUCAUCUAGUGAGCCCCAAGCUAUGUGUUAUAUAGAAACUUCAAAUUUAGAUGGAGAAACUAACUUAAAGUUGAGGCAGGGAUCGCCAGCAACAUCAAGUAUAGUCACUGGGGAAAAAUUAACAGAACUGCGAGGAAUGGUGGAAUGUGAACCUCCUAAUAGAUUUUUAUAUGAAUUUGUUGGCAAUAUCAGAAUAGGCUCCAACAUAAGCGCCAAACGAGAUGCUUUUGAAUCAAAAUUCAUGAAAAAAAUUAGUUUGUCUCUUGCCUGGCAGCAUUUAGAUGCUGUCCCCCUUGGGCCAGAUCAAAUAUUGCUUAGAGGAGCCUGUUUAAAAAACACAAGUUGGAUUUAUGGAUUAGUCAUUUACACUGGUCAUCAGUCGAAACUAAUGUUAAACUCAACAACUACACCUCUUAAACGAUCCAACGUGGAGAAAAUGACCAACAAGCAGAUUCUACUCCUGUUCCUUCUGCUGGUGUUACUGUCUCUAGUUUGUGCUGUGGCCAAUCAUAUAUGGGUGCUGUCCAAUGAAGAUGCUCACUGGUACCUCUUUUUCCAUGUCAAGUGGGAAUAUGGUGAUCUUGUAAGAACUAACUUUGGUUAUAAUCUCCUCACUUUCAUCAUUCUCUACAACAACCUCAUCCCUAUCAGUCUUCAGGUCACACUGGAAAUGGUGAAGUUUGUUCAGGCUAUUUUUAUCAACUGGGAUCAAGACAUGUAUUAUGAAAGAACUAAAACCCAUGCUAAUGCUAGAACUUCAAACCUCAAUGAAGAACUAGGACAGAUAAAAUUUUUGUUUUCUGAUAAGACUGGAACCCUUACCCAGAACAUAAUGAGGUUUAGCAAAUGUUCUAUAGCAGGUAUCAUUUAUGGAAACAAUGAAGAGAGCAAAGAGAAGUUUAAUGAUGACAGAGUUCUUAAAAAUCUCCAAUCAGAACAUGAAACUGCUCCAAUAAUAUCAGAUUUUUUAAUGUUGCUGGCAGUAUGCCACACAGUUGUCCCUCAAAUAGAUGAAAACACUGGAGAAAUUCACUAUUUAGCAUCGUCACCAGAUGAGGCAGCAUUAGUUAAAGCGGCUAAAGAGAUGAAGCAUGUAUUUACAACUAGAACGCCAGACUACGUUGUGGUUGAUAUGUUGGGCCAGCCAGCCAAAUAUUUAAUCCUAAAUGUGUUAGAGUUUACUAGUAAGAGGAAGAGAAUGUCUGUGAUAGUCAGGACUCCAGACAAUAGAAUUUUGUUAUUGUGUAAAGGAGCAGAUAAUGUAAUCUAUGAAAGACUAGGAAGUGAUAAAACCUAUACUGAAGAAACCUUAUCCCACUUGGAACAGUUUGCCAGUGUUGGUUUAAGAACUUUGUGUUUAGCUAAAACAGAAAUCUCUGAAGAGUUUUACAAAGAGUGGUCCAACACAUUCUACAAAGCAAGCACUGCCAUUCAGGACAGAGAACAGAAACUUGAAGAAGUUGCAGAACUUAUUGAGAAGGACUUGCAACUUCUCGGAGCUACUGCCAUUGAAGAUAGAUUACAAGAUGGAGUACCAGAAACUAUUGACAUACUUAGUAAAGCUGAUAUCAAAAUUUGGGUGCUCACUGGAGAUAAACAAGAGACGGCUAUAAAUAUAGGUUAUUCUUGCAAAUUACUCAACCAUAGCAUGGAUUUAGUCAUUAUUAAUGAAAAUUCUUUAGAUACAACCAGAGAUGCUUUAGUGCGUCACAAAGCUCAGUUUGGUGAAAUGCUUGGCAAAGAAAAUUAUGUUGGUCUUAUUAUUGAUGGCCAAAGCUUAAAGUAUGCCCUCACUUGUGAUUGUAAACAAGAUUUCUUGGAUAUUGCUCUCAGUUGCAGAGCUGUCAUUUGUUGUCGGGUUUCCCCACUCCAGAAGGCUGAAUUAGUUGAACUUGUUAAAGUCUCUCAAAAUGCCAUCACCCUGGCCAUAGGAGAUGGUGCAAAUGAUGUUGGAAUGAUUCAGGCUGCUCAUGUAGGCGUUGGCAUUAGUGGUGAAGAGGGUCUUCAGGCAGCAUGCGCUUCUGACUACUCCAUAGCUCAGUUUCGCUUUCUUCAGAAGUUGCUACUUGUACAUGGUGCUUGGAGUUAUAGUCGAGUGUGUAAACUUAUUUUAUAUUGUUUCUACAAGAAUAUAUGCUUAUAUGUGAUACAGUUUUGGUUCCAGCUAAGUAACGGGUAUUCUGGUCAAAUUCUAUUUGAAAGAUGGACUCUAGGUCUUUAUAAUGUGAUAUUUACAGCAGCACCGCCCAUUGCCAUGGGUCUGUUUGAUAGAUUCUGUUCAGCAGAGACAAUGAUGAAAAAUCCAAUUUUAUAUAAAGAUUCUCAAACUGGCAAUCUCUUUAAUGUUGUGACAUUCUGGGUGUGGAUUACUAAUGCCAUAUUUCAUGCUAUAGUUUUAUUUUGGAUGACAGUGGCCACAUUAAGAUAUGAUGUUGCAUUCCCAGAUGGCAAAGUAGGCGAUUAUCUUUUCUUAGGAAAUUUUGUCUAUACAUAUGUGGUUAUAACAGUCAGCUUUAAAGCAGGAUUGGAAAUAGUAGCCUGGACAUGGUUAACUCACCUGGCUAUAUGGGGCAGUAUAGUUUGUUGGUUUAUGUUCCUCGUGGUCUACAGCCAUGUCUAUGAGCUGAUUGGUUUCUCAGCCGAAAUGACAGGAAUGGAUCGCUAUGUUCUGAGCUGCUCUUUGUUUUGGUUUGGUCUUCUCCUCAUUCCAUUUACUGCAUUACUUAGGGAUAUAGUCUGGAAAGUAAUUCGUCGAGAAUUUUUCAAAACUCAUCGGCAGUCUGUUCAAGAACUAGAAAAGGCACACAAAGAGAUCAAAAUUGAAUCAACACUUAGAAAGAAAUUAAGGCCCAUAUCAGAAAGAGCUCGACUCUUGAGUAGAAAUCUAAUGAACCUUGGGGAUCGAAUAGUCGGUGGUAGAAGAACACAGACCAGUGCAUCAAACUUUGGAAUGCGACCCAGACAGAUAGCUUCAGUUAUAGUGCUUUGAACAAGUGAAGCAAAUCUUACUACAUUAGAAGUUGAGGGUGAUUGGCCAGUUCAAGAACAAACUGUCCUGUUAGUUGAGAGUGUAUUCGAGCAGCUUAGCUCACUACCACAUUGCCACAAGGAAUAUAUGCAAAUGGAUUUGCUUUCUCCCAGGAAGAACAUGGUGCUGUGAAUCAAGCUGAGUAUAUUCGUGCUUAUGACACUAGACAGGCCAAACCACAAGGCUUCUAAAGCAAUACAAUGUGUACAUGAAGUCCAGUGCUCAGUGACAGAUCUGCAAUAAUAAAUGUUGGUGGAUGAUAUCUCAUCUCUGUGGCCAUUCUGUUUGGCCAUAGCUACAAUUUUUUCCUAAUCAUAAACUAAUUAGUUCACAUGUAUUCUCUUUUGUUACUCAACUAAAUACCUUUUCUAAGCUUGAAACAGAAAAAUGUAUUAAAAAAGUAGCUUCUUUCACAUUCAAAUGUCAUGUGCAAUGAUAGCAAUAAACAAUUGCCUAGGCUUACUAAGCGAUAUUAAAAUUGGGACAUUUUAUGUUCUUAAGAAUUUGUACAUAGAUAUCUAAUGUUAAAUGGUCUAAUCAUAAGUUUAACAAUUAUAAAUUAAAUAUAAUCUGACCCUACAGCCAUGUUUAUGUAAUGUAAAUGUGAAAAUCUUUAAAGUAUCUGUAUUAGGCUUAUACUACUAUUGUUGAAUAUUUUCAAAACCUUUUUUCUCUCUCUGUGUUAACUUAAACAUUCUCUUAUUUUUGUUUUUGUACUGCAUUAUUUCAAAAUGUAUUUUUAUCUUUCUCUUAAUGUUAAACAGCAUUGUUAUUUUUAUUGUUAAAAUCUUGUUAUUUGUUUUGUAUUUAUAUCUUUAAACUAACAAUUUUUUUAAACAGUUUUGUUACUGUAUAUAAUUAGACGUUUUAUUUAUUUAUGUACAUAUUUUUUUUUUUGUCGAGACCAAAGGCAACAACAUACGAAUGUUUUCAAUACUACAAGACUACUGCUACAUAGUGCUUCAUUGUAGUUCUUGAUUUUUUUUUUUUUUAAUUUGCAUUUAAUUGUAUGCAUCUAGGAAAACUAAGGACUUGGCAGAGUUUUAGUCUGAGGGACUAGAUGAACACUUGGAGAUGCGUAGGACGUAAUUACCUUCAAUCCUGAAGGAACAUCUGUAAAUUUUAAGAUGAGAAGAUUCUUCUAGAUUUAUCUUUCCUAGAAAAUUACAUCAACAUUCCUGAUUGCCAAACAUGAUAUAAAAUAAAGUAUUCCUUGUGAUCUAUAGGGCUGAUGAUGAAAAAUUUCAUCUAUUUCUAUGGCCGAUGGUUAAGGAGGAUGCUGCGUAGCCAGCACAAUGACCAACCACUUUACUUUCCUGAACUAGUGCUAUUUGGUCUUUUCAAACAUCAGACUCCAGACAUUUUCGUGUACAUAGAAAAAAAAGUCUAUCUGCAAAAAGGAGCUUAGUAGAUGUAUAUUUUUUUUUCUACUUUUUCUUUUUACAAAAUAUAUAUAAUUAAUAUUUUUUAGCUUUUUAUAAUUCUAAUCUAUAUGCAGCGAAUUCCUUUCGUUUUUUUUUUUCAAGUUAUUAUGUAGUUAUUGCAAUGAGUCUCCAUAGAAAGUUUACAAAGCACCCAAGCCAUGGUUAGAAAUAUUGCAAGAACUCAAAUAUGAAAGGACCAGCAGAAUGAAGCAGACAAAAGCUCAAUAGAACCCAAACUCUAAAUCAAUUAGGAUAAAUAGUAGAAUACACUUUUGCAUGAAGUUCUACACUAAGAAUUACACUGGUGAGUUCAUACUCAGUGUUGGUAAGACCUAGAUUGCAUACUUAUAAUGAUAUGUUGUAAUACAGAUUAGCUCCUGUAAUAUCCCAGUUGCCAUAGUUUUCUUUAUAUUCUUUGUCCACCAGUUUUUCUGAUAAAGGUUAAGCUUCAAGUAUCAGGGUUAGAGCUGAGCACUGCCUUCAUCUGGCUAAGUUAACAUAUCUUUCAAUUGAAUGUUGAAUGGAACAAAGAAAUAAAAUGGAAUGGACCAUUCAAUGUCUCUCAUCUAUCUGAUUUUUUUUUUUCAAUUCCAUUGUAGUAUUAUUUUUUAGAGCAGCAAAAUCAUUGAAACAAAUAAUUGUUAUAUUUUUGUAUGUCAUGCUCAAUGUAUCGGACUGGUUUAAUUUUGUGCUGAAUGCAAUGUGAAACAUCCCGAGUUAAACACCUUAACACAUUGCAUUGUAUUCUUAUCAACACACAUUUUCAUAUAUUAUAUUUUUUUUAAGUGUUUAUAACUUUGAACAACUUAAGAGAUCAAUAUUUGUCUUUUAUAAUUUGGAUAAUUUUAUUGUAUUUUGUGAAAUUAUUUUAGUGUGAUUUUUUUCAUUUUGUAAAAAGUUGCAGCCUAUUGCGAAAAAAAUUGCUGGAACUCAGGAAUUAAAAACAAGAGCAUAGUGCAUCUUACUUGAGUAGAAAAACAUUUUUUUUGUUGUUUUUUUUUCAUUAUAAAAGAAAAUAUGUUUUGCUAGCUACCAUUGUAAACGAACUUUGAAAUAGACUUCUGUUUUUCAAUUAUUGAAUUUGUUGUUGUUUUUUUUUCAGGAUUUUAUAUUAUCUCAUUUAUUGUUAGCUAAAAUAUGUGCUGGUUUAAUAAAAUAAUUUAUUUCUGAUUUAAUUUAAAUUUAAUUCAGUUUUGUUACCAGAAAACUAACUUUGUAUCUAUGUCUAGUCUAACUCAAGAACAUAACACAUUUUAUUUGUAUAUUGGCUUUCAGAACAAAUUAUAUUUUAUUCCUAAAAAAAAUCGUGCCAUUUAUUCUAUAUAUAAUCUGUUGGAGUUGACGUUUUUAUAACUUCAAAGUCUCUUCUGAAUAUUUCCAUGAUUUAUAUACAUUUUGCUCAUAAAGAAAGUUAUGAUGUUUUUUUUUGUUUUUUUUUUUCAUUUCAAAAUUUGCAGUCAUUUGUUUGGGACAUUACACUUGACACUAAUUUAUCCACCACCCUUUUCAUACUCCCCCCCCCCCCCCCCCAAGCCACCUAAUAAAAAAAAAACCAUGACAUAAAAUGAAAAUACCUUUUCUAAAUGGUACCUAUGAAAUUAGCUUGCAACAUUCCUGAGUUUGACUUUAUCUUUUAGAGACUGAUUUGCAUUUUUUAACUUGACUCUUGUGAGAUUUUAAUACUGCUGAAUCACAACAACAACAAAAACAGCCCUAGUAAAUUUUUAAUUGAAUAUCUCAGUUUGAGUUGUGGGAAUCCAUCUUUUCCUUUUAUGUAGCAUUUAUUUUCUUUUAAAAAUAAAAUUCCUGUUUCAUCUCCUGGUGUAUUCAGAUUUAAUAAAAAAAAAAUUCCAAAAGCUAUAGGUAAUAAUCUAAAUUGCCCUCUGUGAUAACUCUCCUUAAAAUGUUGACUAAAGGUAAGCAUGCUCUUUUAUAUGGUACUGUUUUACGAGAGUUGAAAUUGCUAUAUUUGUUUUUUUAAUUUAAACUUGAGCAGUAUUUAUUUUUUCUCAGUAUAUGCCUACUAAAUAGAGAACGUAUGACAGAAUGAGCUUAGUCAUAGUUUGAAAAAGAAGCUCGAUAGCAAUGAAUUAUUAUUGUUUGUAUAAUUUUUUUUUUAAACUUAGUUUGUUGUUAUAUUGUUAUGAACUUUAUUGCUCAUUUAUUUGUAUCAAUUGUUGCAGUGAUAUUUUUGUUACCAUUUUGUUUUUUAACAUUUGAAAAAGUUUUAAAAUGUAAUACCUCAUUUAUAAACAUAGAAACGCCAACUUUUUGAAUAGCUAUCAAGUAUAUGACUUUCUGUCUUCCACUGCAGUGUGAAAACGUCUAUACAAUACUUACUGUACUAAAAAAUUUAGUUGAAUGUGCCUAGGUAGUUAUCAGGCUUAAAUUAAUCAAUUCUAACAAUGUGUGAUGUUGUGCCAGAUAUGUAUGAAAAAAAUAUCUAUUUAAAUGUCAUGAAUAAAAUUCAUAGAGGUGGUGGAAUCGGGACAGUCUGAUCAAUAAGUUAAAAAAAAAGUUGGAUGUUUCUUGCCAAUAUUUUGUAUGACUUAAUGGCAAAACUUUUUUAUUCAAUUGAAUAUUGUCUGGUUGCAUCGUUUCAAUGUCAUUUUUGCCUUUAUGUACCGGUACAAGUAUGGAAUAAAAAGAUCUUCAUUCUAAA